rnacentral:rRNA from 1 species
AUCUGGGCGGCGGAAUUCAGGAUGACUGGCGUGUCUUCGGGCGCGUUCGGUCGUUUGAUAUUUCCGUCGCCGACGCAGACGUCGCGACCUGUUUGUCGUCGGUCCUUGCUCGGAGGAGCCGCGUUCGAGCUCGUUGUGGGGCGCGCUUCGGCGCGUCACUCGGCGAAGGCGCGGAUCUCUGGCCGACGACGGGCAGUAAGCAGCGGUGGCCGAUGUCGUGUCUCGCACUCGACGUCGGUGCCGGUCGGCGACGAUUUCUUCGGGCCUCUUUCCGACCCGUCUUGAAACACGGACCAAGGAGUCUAACAUGCGCGCGAGUCGCGGGGUUUCGAGCGUGCUACGGUGCGCUCGUUACUUGCGAAACCCGUACGUGUAAGGCGUAAUGAAAGUGAACAGGGAAGAUGGCGUUCCGAGUCGACGUACCGUGAUCGAGUAUCGCGGCCGGACGCCCGCAUUCCCGGGGCGUCUCUAUGGUUCGUCGCGGAUGCGGACGGCCGUCUCUCGCGGGACGGUCGUCGGUCCGCGACGGAUCGA